rnacentral:rRNA from 1 species
GUCGAACGAUGAAGCCCAGCUUGCUGGGUGGAUUAGUGGCGAACGGGUGAGUAACACGUGAGUAACCUGCCCUUGACUCUAGGAUAAGCCCGGGAAACUGGGUCUAAUACUGGAUAGGAACGUCUACCGCAUGGUGGAUGUUGGAAAGAAUUUCGGUCAUGGAUGGACUCGCGGCCUAUCAGCUUGUUGGUGAGGUAAUGGCUCACCAAGGCGACGACGGGUAGCCGGCCUGAGAGGGUGACCGGCCACACUGGGACUGAGACACGGCCCAGACUCCUACGGGAGGCAGCAGUGGGGAAUAUUGCACAAUGGGCGAAAGCCUGAUGCAGCGACGCCGCGUGAGGGAUGACGGCCUUCGGGUUGUAAACCUCUUUCAGUAGGGAAGAAGCGAAAGUGACGGUACCUGCAGAAGAAGCACCGGCUAACUACGUGCCAGCAGCCGCGGUAAUACGUAGGGUGCGAGCGUUAUCCGGAAUUAUUGGGCGUAAAGAGCUCGUAGGCGGUUUGUCGCGUCUGUCGUGAAAGUCCGGGGCUUAACCCCGGAUCUGCGGUGGGUACGGGCAGACUAGAGUGCAGUAGGGGAGACUGGAAUUCCUGGUGUAGCGGUGGAAUGCGCAGAUAUCAGGAGGAACACCGAUGGCGAA